UACGUAGGGGGCAAGCGUUGUCCGGAUUUAUUGGGCGUAAAGAGCGUGUAGGCGGCCGCACAGGUCCGUUGUGAAAACUCGAGGCUCAACUUCGAGCUGUCGGUGGAAACUUUCUGGCUAGAGUCCGGAAGAGGAGAAUGGAAUUCCUGGUGUAGCGGUGAAAUGCGCAGAUAUCAGGAAGAACACCCGUGGCGAAGGCGGUUCUCUGGGACGGUACUGACGCUGAGACGCGAAAGCGUGGGGAGCGAACAGG
rnacentral:rRNA from 1 species